AAAACCUCAGGUGAAAACCUCAAAUAGAAAUAUUUCAGCAGGUGGGAACAGACGAGAUAAUGGCGUAAGCAGUAACGAGGAGGUGACCUACGCAGAUGUCAGGUUUUCUAAGAACAAGAAACCUGUUCAAGCCCAGUGGGAAUCAGAAAACCCCUCAUCAACCUAUGCUGACAUCAGGAUCAACAGAAACUAAAGCACUCUUCCCUGCAUGCAACCAAACAGGCUGGCUGUCUGGUGUUAACUAAAUCCUGCUAAAACUUGACAUUUCUUUAAGCAAAAAUCAACAAUGACAGAGCUGGCUGAAACUUGAUUGUUGGGGUGCUUUAACAUAUUUAAGCAUUAGUUUACUAAAGUCUGUCACCUUAUUUAUAAUGAUUAACUAACUCCAGCUUUUACUGGCAACAGAAAGCAGAAGGCAGAAUAUUUCCCCCUUUUCAUUUUAUGAUGUUCAUAAAUGCAAAGUGAUCAGCAAUCUUCUCUUUAUCAGUCAAAUCAUUCAAAUUUUAUUUGUGUAGCACAUUUCAGCAGCAAGGCAUUUCAAAGUGCUUUACAUCAAAUCAAACACAAAAACACAACACAACAUAGAAUCAACAAUCAAAACAGAACAUCAAGUCAGAUUCCGUCAUUUAAUUUGUAAUUGAUUACGUUUUAUCUUACUCCUCCAAAUAUGUUUCAUGGUGUAUGUGUGUUUACUACUACUUUUUUCUUAUGUGAAAAUGGUAUUUAAGGAAAUUAAGAAAACAUUUUCUCCCAGUUAAACAUUCUCAAGCAUAUUUGAAGUUAUAUAAGCCUUUAUUCCUUGUAUGGAACAGACCUGCUGUAAAUAAAAUAGGUUGUAGAUGAUGUCUGAUACCAAGACUGAUUGAACUUUUGAAACCCUUCCAGAAGCCUGAACCUCAACUCUAUUUAAAAUUCAUGGAAUAUCCAGACCAGAUGAACUUGAACAAUAUGAUUAAAGUUAAAAGAAGGAAAUGUUUGACACAGGAAUGUAAAGUUAAAUUGCUUAUUUUUAAUAGGAACAUUAAGAAAUUCAGUCUUCCAGAAUCUGCUGUUGGCUUUUUCUUUGUAGCCACUGGAUCAUCUCCAGGUUUUAAGUGGACUCAAAGUCCAGCAAGCUGCUGACCAAAUCAUUGUCAGGAUUCUGAGAUCAUUUGUCACUUUCUGAAUUUAUUAGAAAUGAUUUACAAUGCAGAGCUUGAUAGGAGUUGUUGCCACCUAGAGUUUUACAACCACUGGUUGUGUUGGCAGGCAAUAAUUUUUUCACACAAGACCAAAAAGAGAUGCAGCUUUUUCUUCUUGACAAAUAAAAUGAUCAUUAGUGAACAUGUUUCUGUUUACUGAAGUUAUCUUUGUCUAAGAAUAAUAUUUGUUUGAUGAGCUGAAGCAUUUAAGUGUAUCAAAAAAGCAAAAACAAAAUAAAUAU